GAUGAACGCUGGCGGCGUGCCUAAUACAUGCAAGUCGAGCGAACAGACGAGGAGCUUGCUCCUCUGACGUUAGCGGCGGACGGGUGAGUAACACGUGGAUAACCUACCUAUAAGACUGGGAUAACUUCGGGAAACCGGAGCUAAUACCGGAUAAUAUAUUGAACCGCAUGGUUCAACAGUGAAAGACGGUUUUGCUGUCACUUAUAGAUGGAUCCGCGCCGCAUUAGCUAGUUGGUAAGGUAACGGCUUACCAAGGCGACGAUGCGUAGCCGACCUGAGAGGGUGAUCGGCCACACUGGAACUGAGACACGGUCCAGACUCCUACGGGAGGCAGCAGUAGGGAAUCUUCCGCAAUGGGCGAAAGCCUGACGGAGCAACGCCGCGUGAGUGAUGAAGGUCUUCGGACCGUAAAACUCUGUUAUUAGGGAAGAACAAAUGUGUAAGUAACUAUGCACGUCUUGACGGUACCUAAUCAGAAAGCCACGGCUAACUACGUG
rnacentral:rRNA from 1 species